rnacentral:rRNA from 1 species
AUUGAACGCUGGCGGCAUGCUUUACACAUGCAAGUCGAACGGUAACAGGGAGCUUGCUCCGCUGACGAGUGGCGAACGGGUGAGUAAUGCAUCGGAACGUACCCAGUCGUGGGGGAUAACGUAGCGAAAGUUACGCUAAUACCGCAUACGUCCUGAGGGAGAAAGCGGGGGACCGUAAGGCCUCGCGCGAUUGGAGCGGCCGAUGUCGGAUUAGCUAGUUGGUAGGGUAAAGGCCUACCAAGGCGACGAUCCGUAGCGGGUCUGAGAGGAUGAUCCGCCACACUGGGACUGAGACACGGCCCAGACUCCUACGGGAGGCAGCAGUGGGGAAUUUUGGACAAUGGGCGCAAGCCUGAUCCAGCAAUGCCGCGUGCAGGAAGAAGG